rnacentral:misc_RNA from 1 species
CAUACACUGCCACCCCUGCAGUAUUCGCGUGCGUGCGCGCCAACCAGCCAACCAUCCGGCAGAUCGAUGUGCGUUGGUGUGAGUUUUACGUCGUCUGUACGACGCGACGGUAUUGUUUUACUUUUACUGUAUAAUGAUGACCAACCAGGUGAUAUUUUUCACCAAUAGAGUAAACGAUUUUAAGGAGAAUAUAACAUCUCUCUGUCAUGCUAUACUGUCCGAGGGUUUCAGGAUUAUCACAGACAAUAGUAAACUACAUUUAUAUACCUUCCUAUACUCGUAUACUGCCAUACAGUUUUGAAGGAAACUUCGGGAUAUGGUUACUCUGCUUACUUCUCGUGGAUUUCAGUUAUUAUUGGAGCCAUCGUUUAAGCCAUAAAAUAGAUUAUCUGUGGGCUUUUCAUCAAGUACACCACUAUAGCGAACAAUACAACUGUGCGACUGUAAUGCAGCGAUCCAUUAUGGAACUUUUACAAUUUUGUAAAUGUCUUUUCUGUGAAAGUUUGAAUCCAAAUCUUUAUUAUGUAAAGAGAUAUUAAUGGUAGACGUUAAUUGCCAGAAUAAUAGUCAAAAGUUCUACUUAUUGUUAGAAUAAAUAAAGAAUAAAAGAAAGUUUUGUAUCAUCUUGAUUAGAAAUUUUUAUUAAAAUUGUUUAUUUAUAAUAUCUGUAAUGUAAAAGAUUUGUUACUAUAAUUUUACAGUAUACUAUUUGAACUAAAAUUUUCUUUAUAGGUAUUUUAUAUUCCUGUCGCUAUGUUGUUUCAUCCAACAUGUAUUAUAUGCCAUCUUCAUGUAAUUACACUCUAUCAACUAUUGUUGUAUACAGAACUUGUCGAUGGUUUUAAGUUGUUCCAACAGAUUUUCAAUAUGCCCAAAUAUCAUCGCAUUCAUUAUGGUAAAUUGCCUAACACCAGAGAGAGUUAUACGUAUGUGUUUAUAGGUUGCAAUAAGUUCUGCCAAAAUAAGAAUUACGGAGGAAUAUUGAUAAUUUGGGAUCGACUAUUCGGUGUUUUGUCUAUUAAAACUGAUUGAAAAAAGCAAAAGUAUGAAAUCUGCUAACAAUCGACGUCGAAGCAUUCGACGAUAUUCAGCGUUAAGGAGUAUUCAUUUAUGGACUAUCAAUCAGAAAAAGUAUAGAACUAAACACAAGAAUAAUUCCAUCAUAGGGAAUAUGCUUUUCAGCUACGUUAUUGGUCUUACGUUAGUUAUGGAGCACUGUGAACUGUACUUGAUAAUGAUAUUAUAAUAAUAUCUAAUAUUAGUGAUAAUAGAGUGACCUCACUCGAAUGGAUCUUCAACACUUCUAGAAGCCAUCGCGUUCAUCACGAUACCAACAGCUACAACUUGGAUAAAACUUAUGGAGAAGUGUUCAUAAUAUGUGAUCGAAUGUUCUCUACAUUUUAGAAGAAAAGAUGUACAAAACAAUAUUAUGUGCAUAAAAAUAUGAUUUGCAUCUUAGCCUUAAAUAUUUCAAUGUAAAACCUAUCAACCUAUCACAAGUAAGAAUAUCAUGUUAUUAUUAUAUCAUAUCUUUUACAUUGCUAAACUAUAUUCGGUGAUAAUAUAAUAUUAUAAAUACUCGAUAAAUAUCGAUCACCUUUAAUGAUACGUUGAUACGAGAUUUCAAAUCCGCGUAUUUGCGCACAUCGAUGUUCCAUAGACACAUGACUCUACACAAACAGAACUUUUUUUUUAAAUAUCGUGAAGUUAUAUAAGCAACGUACGUAGGACGCGUUUAUAGUCUUAACUGUCGACAGUGUGGACGGAACUCCGACAAUGAUAACGUGGAUGGGAAAAUAUAUAGGGGGGAUAUGGAAACUACGUAAAGUUGAAGAUGAUUCAUCUGAAAUGACAAUCUUUUGUAAUACAAAUUGGCUAGUGUUAUUACUAUUCAUUUUCUGUUUUGGGUUAUAUCAUGUUUUCAUAGUUCUUCAACUACAAUUUAUAUAUCUUCUUUUACUUUGUUGGGAGAUAAUCUACGCAAUCUACUUGCUGCUACCAGUUGGCAAUUAUGAAAAGGUAAAUUUGUGAAUGUAAAAACAUUAAAAUCACAUAAUCGAUUUGAUUUAGUAAUCAUGUGUUAGUGCAGUAAAACUUACAUUAAAAAAUAAUUAACAUAAAUUUCUUGUGCACGUGCGUAGUUAUCACACACGCGUACGCGCGUCAACAAAAUUUUUUAAAUUUAUAUAUUUAAAUUUAAUCAUAAUAAAUAUCACCAUCCAUUAAUUAAUUAAUACACACACCACAAUGUGGUAUAAUUUGGUAAUAGAUCAAACAGAUUAUUUUCCGACUAGUUCUUUUCACUUUCCUUGGACCUAAAAUCAAAUUUAGCGAAAUAUUGAAUGUCAAUUUGAAGUGACACUAUGACCUCUAAAAAUUGUUUAUAUUUACAGGUCAUGGUUUUCUUUUACUGUCUAGUGAUUCUAGAACAGAUCUUCUUGGCUUGGAAAAGAGAAAAGAGUAAUAUGAAGGAGACUGUAGUGUCGUUGAACCAUGGUGUAUAUUAUGAGAGUAUCAAAUUUCUGUUUGGAUGUAAAUUGCAAGAAUCUGUAUAUUUAUUUAUUUACGAGAGAACCGGAAAUAUAAUUGUAAGCAAUUAUUUGUUCGGAUGGGAAGGAUCUAUAUGGUUAGGAUGAUUUAUCGGCGUUAUUGCCACGGAUUUCUGUUACUAUUGGAUCCAUCGUUUUAAACACGAAGUUCAAGUGUUAUGGUGCUUUCAUGAAGUGCAUUAUAGUAGUGAGGUGUUCGAUCUUUCGGUCGGUGUGCGGCAAUCUGUUAUGGAACUUUUCUACGAUUUUAUAUUUUACUCUCCUCUUGCCAUCUUUAUACAUCCGUACUACAUUAUAAAAACCCGUGAAUUUAUUUAUUUAUAUCAGUUGUUCAUACAUACAGAAGUAAUAAAGAAAGUUGGAUCUUUCGAGGGAAUUUUUAAUACGCCUAAUUAUCAACGUAUUCAUCACAGCUUCAACAGGGCCUACCUGGACAAGAAUUAUGGAGGUAUAUUUAUAUUAUGGGACCGCAUGUUCGGUACGUUCAAAGAGAAAGGGAGUGGUCCAAUAGAUUAUAGUAUCCCAGAGAGCCCUCAAUGUUACGGUAUACUAUACCAACAAAUAUAUGGCAUCAUAUGUUGGUUUGUGCACAAGAAGAAUCUACUAUUUACAAGAUUUUGGUUUAAAGCUCUUUUUUACGGGCCUAGAUGGAUACCUGACAACAACGUUAUUAACGAGUCAAUACCACGUUUGGGAUACGAGAAAUGCGUAAGAUACUAUAAACACUUAAAGAAAUAAAAUGACAUGCAUAUUAUACAAUGAUGCAUGCAAAUUAUAUAUAUUAUGACUCGGAAAUAUAAAGAACAAAAUAUAAAGCUAGUGUAUAAUUAUAGUUUCUUUAAUCAGUAUGUCAUUUAAAAUAUAUCAUUUUAUCUUACAAAUAAAAAGUAGACAAUCAAAUGAUAAUAAGGACAAAACAUUCAUAAAUUACUGGGAUAUUCAUUAUAUGUGUUGUAUGCAUUUUCUUAUUGUCAUAAGUGGGUUGGAAAUAUACUCGAUAAGUGUAAGUAUUAAAUGCAAUCCAUCUAGUGUUUACUUUAAAGAACGAAAUAACGAAAAAUUUCAACAAUUUAUGCGUUUAAUAAUUAUUUAUGUAGCAUGUUCAAACGCAUAUGUACGUACAUACAUGAAUAUACGUGUUACUCUGUUAUCUAUAAAUUUCCUAAAAAUCGAUUAAGAGUGACAAUCUUAGUUAUUCGAAUUUGAACAUCAUUAAGUGCUUUUAUGAAUAUGCGGUACCGAAGCAAUUUAAUCUCAUAGAAACAAUAUACCAGAUUCGUAGAAAACAGAAAUUAAUAAGAAUCGAGGUUCUGGCGUGACAGUUGAAAUUUGCAUAGUAUUGUAAUGUUCGUUUUGUAUUUAUUUUCAGGAUAUGGAUUUCUUAAGCAUAACACGUGCAUUUGGAAAACUGCACGCAAGUUUAUGCAUUUGCGCUUACUUUCUCGAAAAUUUGAACAAAACAUAUAUUAUAUUGGCGAAUGUUCUACGGUCUUUAUUUUUGUACAAUUAUUAUUACACUUCCCCUGCAUGGUGCAGUUAUAUAUACUAUCUCACGCUUUAUUACGAUGGACUUUAUUGUUUAGUACUAUUUUUUCAUUAUAUGAUUUAUAUGUUACGUCAAAAACUGGAUUAUACAACCCAAUCUAUAAUAUCCAAAACGGAUCCUCUAAAAGAAUAGUAAAACAAAAGUAAAGUAGUGUAAGUACUGCCAGUAAAACUGAUUAAAAGGUUUUCUUUCUCUAUCCUGCAAAUAUAUUUUUAAGUACCGUGUAGAGAGUAUAAUAUAACCGAAACAGUUUGUUUUUUUAGCAGAAGUUUCUAAAUUUGUUUAAUAUAAUACGAAGAGCAUUUGUCUAAUAAGAUAUGUACGAUCAUUUAACUACAGACAUUAUAUUAAUCUCUGUGAUUCCACUUCCACACUUUUAAGCUAUGAUCAUCACAUAUGUAAAAAUAUAUAUGAAUAAAUAAAUAUUUAACAAGAAAAAUAUUUAUUUAUUGAUAUAUAUGUAAAAAUACAUAUGUACAUGUAAAACUAUUCAUGUUAAUAUUGAUGUGAGAGCAUACAUUUCUUACCAACAAUGGCUGCCACGCAGAAAAUAUGCAAAAUAAUUAUAUUAUUCUUUAGCAUACUACUUCCCUCAAUUUUAUAAUAUGACAUAUGUGAGGAAUAUGUAAUUCUAAUUAUAUUCUAUAUCGUAGUAGUGAAUGAUACAAAAUUAUAAAUGCGUAUUGUGCAUAAAAUAUAUAAUAAUAUGUGUAUGUAUCGAAUUUUUAUUGUAAGAACGGUAUAAAUAAAUUAUGUAAAAGUUUUUAUCACGAUUCCGUAUUAAGAUUAUUUUUAUUUAUUCGAUGUAUUUCCCAAAACAAUUUAGUUUGCACACAACAACGUUUUAAUUUGUGAAAAAUGACUUUUAAAAACUUACACGUUAGACACUUUAGAUAAUAAUUUUGUGAUCACGUCUAAUUCCACACGCAAAAUAUAUUACACAAAAUUAUUAAAAAUAGUUGCUAUUAUUGUUUCACGUCCUCUUUUACAGUUACACUUUACUAUCGUUUAUUGUUUUAUAAUAUGCUCUUCGAUAUUGUUGUAGAUUAAGUAAUAAUAAAUACUUGAUCAAUUAUU